GAUGAACGCUAGCUACAGGCUUAACACAUGCAAGUCGAGGGGUAGCAGGGUAGCAAUACCGCUGACGACCGGCGCACGGGUGAGUAACACGUAUCCAACCUUCCCAUAACUCGGGGAUAGCCUUUCGAAAGAAAGAUUAAUACCCGAUAGUACUUAUAUAGGGCAUCCUACAUAAGUUAAAGAUUGAUUGGUUAUGGAUGGGGAUGCGUUCCAUUAGGUAGUUGGUGAGGUAACGGCUCACCAAGUCUUCGAUGGAUAGGGGUUCUGAGAGGAAGGUCCCCCACAUUGGUACUGAGAAACGGACCAAACUCCUAAGGGAGGCAGCAGUGAGGAAUAUUGGUCAAUGGGCGAGAGCCUGAACCAGCCAAGUAGCGUGAAGGAUGAAGGUCCUAUGGAUUGUAAACUUCUUUUAUAGUAGAAUAAAGUGAUCCACGUGUGGAUUUUUGUAUGUAUACUAUGAAUAAGGAUCGGCUAACUCCGUGCCAGCCGCCGCCGUAA
rnacentral:rRNA from 1 species